rnacentral:rRNA from 1 species
UACGUAGGGGGCAAGCGUUGUCCGGAUUUACUGGGCGUAAAGAGCGUGUAGGCGGCCACGCAGGUCCGUUGUGAAAACUGGAGGCUCAACCUCCAGCUGUCGACGGAAACCGUGUGGCUAGAGUCCGGAAGAGGAGAGUGGAAUUCCGUGGUGUAGCGGUGAAAUGCGCAGAUAUCGGGAGGAACACCGGUGGCGAAGGCGGUUCUCUGGGCCUGACCUGACGCUGAGGAGCGAAAGCGUGGGGAGCGAACAGG